AAGUCACCUGCUCCUCAGAUCAGAAGGUGAUUGUGGCUUUGAGUAGAUAUUAAGCAGCCACAGCACUGCCUGGUCAGAAAGAGCAAGUGUACU
rnacentral:pre_miRNA from 3 species